UUAGGAAUAUUGGACAAUGGGCGCAAGCCUGAUCCAGCCAUGCCGCGUGAGUGAUGAAGGCCUUCGGGUUGUAAAGCUCUUUAGCCGACGAAUAUAAUGACUGUAGUCGGAAAAUAAGCCCCGGCUAACUUCGUGCCAGCAGCCGCGGUAAUACGAAGGGGGCGAGCGUUAUUCGGAAUCACUGGGCGUAAAGCGUAUGUAGGCGGUUAUGUAAGUUAGGAGUGAAAGCCCAGGGCUUAACCUUGGAAUUGCUCUUAAAACUACAUGACUCGAAUUCGGUAGAGGAUAGUGGAAUUAUCAGUGUAGCAGUGAAAUGCGUAGAUAUUGAUAGGAACACCAGUGGCGUAGGCGACUAUCUGGACCGACAUUGACGCUGAGAUACGAAAGCGUGGGUAGCAAA
rnacentral:rRNA from 1 species